AGCAUGUGGUUUAAUUCGACGCAGCGCGAAAACUUACCUGGGCUUGACAUGUUGGUAGUAGUGCACCGAAAGGGAAACGAUCCUGAGCAAUUAGGAAGCCAACACAGGUGCUGCAUGGCUGUCGUCAGCUCGUGUCGUUGAGAUGUUGGGUUAAGUCCCGUAACGAGCGCAACCCUUACCUUUAUUUGCCAUCAUUGAGUUGGGCACUCUAAAGGAACCGCUCCGGUUAACGGGGAGGAAGGUGGGGAUGACGUCAAGUCCUCAUGGCCUUUAUGCCCAGGGCUACACACGUGCUACAAUGGCCAGUACAAAGGGCUGCAAAUCCGUGAGGGUGAGCAAAUCCCAAAAAGCUGGUCUCAGUUCGGAUUGGAGUCUGCAACCCGACUCCAUGAAGUCGGAAUCGCUAGUAAUCGCAGAUCAGCGUGCUGCGGUGAAUACGUUCCCGGGCCUU
rnacentral:rRNA from 1 species